rnacentral:rRNA from 1 species
AUUGAACGCUGGCGGCAGGCUUAACACAUGCAAGUCGAGCGGGGUGAUGGUGCUUGCACUAUCACUUAGCGGCGGACGGGUGAGUAAUGCUUAGGAAUCUGCCUAUUAGUGGGGGACAACAUCUCGAAAGGGAUGCUAAUACCGCAUACGUCCUACGGGAGAAAGCAGGGGAUCACUUGUGACCUUGCGCUAAUAGAUGAGCCUAAGUCGGAUUAGCUAGUUGGUGGGGUAAAGGCCUACCAAGGCGACGAUCUGUAGCGGGUCUGAGAGGAGGAUCCGCGACACUGGGACUGAGACACGGCCCAGACUCCUACGGGAGGCAGCAGUGGGGAAUAUUGGACAAUGGGGGGAACCCUGAUCCAGCCAUGCCGCGUGUGUGAAGAAGGCCUUAUGGUUGUAAAGCACUUUAAGCGAGGAGGAGGCUCUUUUGGUUAAUACCCAAGAUGAGUGGACGUUACUCGCAGAAUAAGCACCGGCUAACUCUGUGCCAGCAGCCGCCGUAA